rnacentral:snRNA from 1 species
AAAUGUUAUGCAUUUUUGGAUGUGGCUGAGAUAGCUGUCAUCGCCAGGGUUGAUUUGGCUUCUCUGUCUGGCUAAGCAAGUGCUCCUUCCUCCCUCACCAGUUUGUGUGCAUCUGCUGGAAACUAUGCCCAUACUGAGUAGAAGAGGAUGACCUUUCCUGCGCAGAGGUACAGGGUACAGGAGUAGCAGCAUCCUCACUCCCUGCUAGAGCUUCCAAACAAGUUCAAGGUCCAUUUGCAGGAGAACACAUAAGGUAGUCAAGCUUCCAAGACUCCAGACAUAUGCAAAUGAGGUGCUUCAUGUGGCAGUCUGCCUUUCUUU